CCGCGGCCCUGGCGCGCGUGACGCAGAAGCGUACGCUAGUACGUGACGUCGCAAGGACGUACGCUCUGGAGCUCACAAGGGAAGAUGGCGGCUGUACCUUUGGAGGAGAGCGACUGAAAAGGGAGGAGGAAGGAGGUCAGGCAGGGAAACACUGCCAACUGUGAAGACGAACGCUUCGCUCGACAUUAGGAGGUCUGCUCAACGCCAGCGGGGGAACACAGUUCAGCCCAUAAGAGCUACCACAAGGCCAAAUAACUUAAUGAUUUGAUCGGUUCCGUGAAGCUGGACUAUGGCAUAUGUGAAGCCUGGUUACUGUGGUGAGGUGGUUUGCUUUUAUUUAAUUUUGGACUUAAUCUGGAUUUGAAAUAUGUACAAUUAUACUUUUUUCUCUUUCUUCACACAAGUAAUUC
rnacentral:lncRNA from 1 species